CCUUCCUUCCUUCCUUCCUUCCUUCCUUCCUUCCUUCCUUCCUUCCUCUCCUCCACUUCCCUCCAUCAGAAGCCAGUGUGGACCUGAAGUCACCGUGUUGGUGUCAGAGUUCUGACAGAACAGAACCGACUCUGAGGUUCCGUUUAAGGCUGAAUCAGGGACCUUCUCAGGUGGUCCGGUUGUUCUGGGUCGGUUCUAAAGGGUUCUUUGUGGUUCUGAAGGUUGUUGGAGAAUAAUAUUGCAUGUUCUGCUAAGUCUGCAGGUUAUGAAUGAGACUGCGGGUUCUAUGUGAGGUGGAAGGUUCUGUUUCAGCCUGAGGGUUCUAUUUAAGGCUGUUGGUUCUAUUAAAACCAGGAGGUUCUGUUUAAGGCUGGAGGUUCUAUUAAAACCAGCAGGUUCUGUUUAAAGCUGAAGGUUCUAUAUAAUUCUGUAGGUUCUGUUUAAAGCUGGAGGUUCUAUAUAAUUCUGUAGGUUCUGUUUAAAGCUGGAGGUUCUAUAUAACUCUGCAAGUUCUGUUUAAGGCUGUUGGUUCUAUUAAAACCAGGAGGUUCUGUUUAAGGCUGGAGGUUCUAUUAAAACCAGGAGGUUCUGUUUAAGGCUGGAGGUUCUAUAUAAUUCUGCAGGUUCUGUUUAAGACUGGAGGUUCUAUAUAAUUCUGUAGGUUCCGUUUAAAGCUGGAGGUUCUAUAUAAUUCUGUAGGUUCUGUUUAAAGCUGGAGGUUCUAUAUAACUCUGUAGGUUCCUUUUAAAGCUGGAGGUUUUAUAUAAUUCUGCAGGUUCUGUUUAAGGCUGUUGGUUCUAUUAAAACCAGCAGGUUCUGUUUAAAGCUGGAGGUUCUCUAUAAUUCUGUAGGUUCUGUUUAAAGCUGGAGGUUCUAUAUAAUUCUGUAGGUUCUGUUUAAGGCUGGAGGUUCUAUAUUACUCUGUAGGUUCUGUUUAAAGCUGGAGGUUCUACAUAAUUCUGCAGGUCCUGUUUAAAGCUGGAGGUUCUAUAUUACUCUGCAGGUUCUGUUUAAGGCUGUUGGCUCUAUUAAAACCAGCAGGUUCUGUUGAAAGCUGGAGGUUCUAUAUAACUCUGUAGGUUCCUUUUAAGGCUGGAGGUUCUAAAUAAUUCUGCAGGUUCUGUAUAAAUCACAUGUUCCGGUACCAUCCAGCUGAGCUGUUAGCGUGUCUUUAGAACCUCCUCCAGCGCUGGUCCAGGACACACAGAACCUGCCUUAACAGCUGGACUCACCUGUGUCU